GACAGAGGGUGCAAACGUUGUUCGGAAUUACUGGGCGUAAAGCGCGUGUAGGCUGCUUGGAAAGUCGGAUGUGAAAGCCCUGGGCUCAACCUAGGAAGUGCAUUCGAAACUGCCUCGCUAGAGUCCCGGAGAGGAAGGCGGAAUUCCCGGUGUAGCGGUGAAAUGCGCAGAUAUCGGGAGGAACACCAACGGCGAAGGCAGCACUCUGGGCUGGUACUGACGCUGAGGAGCGAAAGCGUGGGUAGCAAACAGG
rnacentral:rRNA from 1 species